CCAUUUAAUUCUAAUGAGCAAAAUUUGUACAUAUGAGUUCAUGUGUCAAUGCGGUAUUUCUGUUCAUUUAUUUUCAAUUAAGUGAGAAAUUGAGACGUAUGACUUUACAAAAAUAGGCCGUUAAUUAGAACUUAAAGCGAAAUAAUUGAUUGACACGAUGCAUGGCAGUUAGUGCAAAAUAUAAUUUUAUAAAGGGGUAGGUAUGGUAUUAAUUUUUUCAUAAUUCUACAUAAAUGUUUUUGGUGGGUGCAUUCAAAAUAAGUAGUUGUGCAUUUAAGUCUAAUGAGUGGUUCAAAAAGCUUCGAUAAGUCGCUGGUUCUUUCUCCAUAUUUUCCAUGGUAAUACUCUGUUGACCGUCCAAAGCAUCGUUUGCAAAGUCUUCCAGAUUUAUUUUCAUUCUCCGAUUUCUCUGCAAGAUCGAAUACCAUCGGAUCUCGACAAAAUGAGUGAGGAGUCUUAUUUCUAUGUGCUUGUUUAUAUGUGGGUUCAUAUAUCUUUUUUCACGAAUUAAAACAAUUUGUUGAUUCAGGUUUCCUAUGAAAAACACUCCUUACGACUCCAAAAGUAGGGAUCAUCCGUGUCUUGAAGGGAUCAGAUUUAUAAAACGAUGUGGGUAAUUAAAAUUAAAUCACGCAGCAAAUUUUCAUAUUCUUUUUUAUCUUUGUAGUUUUCUAGCAACUUGCCGGCUCACCGUCCCAGCCUUUAAAUUAGUUUUUUUUUCUAGCAUUAUGCCUUGAUGAGUGUGUUCUUAUUUGACACCACGACGCAUUAUCAUUUAUGAUCUGUUCUGUUUUUUUUAGUCAAGGUGAGUAAGAGAACUGAAACCCAAUUAAAAUAUAAAAAAAGGUCACGAAAAGCAAAAAUAAGGUACAAAUCCGUGUGGCACAGCACACAUUACGAACUUGCCUUCACAGACAGUAUUAUUUAGGGUUCUUUUAACUCUUUCAAUUUUUUUAGACCUCCAAUAUUCCCCUCAUCAAAAAAUGAACACACUCAUUAUAUGUGUACAUUAUACACACUUUUCAAUGAGUCAGAUAAUUUUACUUCUGUAUAAGGAUUUUAUUGGGAUAUUUGAUAAUGUUUUUACUUUUUUUAUUUAUGUGUUUGCACCGUGUCCCCACGCCCGCAUUCACGCUUGUUCUGUCUAAGUUUUUUGUAAAAACAAAACUAAACCCAAAUACCCCCCUGUUUGUAUUCAUAUUUUUUAAACUAGUUAAAAACAAAAAAUAUGUUUGUGUUUAUUUUUUUAAUACUAUUUACAAAAAAUGGUGGCGACAGUGGUGGAGACGGAGAUCAUGGAAGCGGUGGUGGAGACGGAGAUCGUGGAGGAAGCAGUGGGGCGGCGGCGGCGGCGGUAGUGGUGGUGGUGGCGGUGGAGGUGGUGAUGGUGGCAGUGGUGGAGUCGGUGGCGGUGGCGGCGAUGUCGGUGGCGGUGGAGGUGGUGAAUGCUUGGAUGAGAGGGAUGUAGAUGGAAAAAUUUUGUAAAUAAAACAAAAACACAUUUUUAUUUUUUUUACUAUUUUAAAAAAUAGUGAUACUAAUUUUGUUUAUUUACAAUUCUAAAUAGCAACACAAACAAGUUUUUAUUUUUGUAAAUAGAAAAAACAAACAAACAAAAAUGAUAGUUAAACAAUUUCACCUUGGUAUCUAGAAUGGAUGCUAUGACAAAUAAGAGAUGGGGAAUUAAAAAUAUGUAUAAAGUAAAAUUUCUUUUUUUUUAAUUUUGUAGUUUUUCUGACUCUUUUUAUUUGCUUUCUACCAAUUUAAUUAUUUAUUGCGUAUUGACCCCUUUAUUACACCCUUUACUACAAGAGUAUUAAAACCCUCGAUCAUGGCAAAAUCAACUGUUGUUGUUGAACCCCGAGAAGGCGUGAAUGUAUAUACUCUAAAUCUUGCGGGCCAAGGAGUUAUAAAACAUUCUUGGUGAAAAAAAGUGAACGAAAGGUCCUACUAAAUCUAACUAAAAUUGGAUUCAUGAAUCUAACCCAAAAAGUGAAAAAUUCUUGGUUAUUAUUUCUCAAUUCUAAAUUAGAAUGUGAAUCGGGGCCCUGAUAUUCCUCUAAAUUUUUAAAAAAAAUAAAAAAAUGAAAUUGAAUUGAUUUAGCUACAAAUUCAUUUCAAUGGAAUUUGGGAUUCACCAUGUAAGGAUAAUUAUUGUAUUGUAUUUUAAUGUUUUUUCAUAGUCGUGGCAAAUUGUUCAUUUUUUAGUUCAAGUUGAUAAAAGCAUCGUCUUUACCUGUGUCACUCACUACUUUGAUUGCUCUGCAAGUAACAUUAGAUCGGGAGAAAUCGGGUAAGCAAUUUUAUUUCUAUGUGUUCUGUUAUAUUUUGUGUAUCUUUUUAACUCAAUCGCCAAAAUAAUGUGCUGAUGUGUUGAUGCGAAAUGUAAAUGCAUUACUUAUAAAUAAUUAAAUUUAAAUAUUAGGUUUGUUUAAUUUUUUAAGACGUUUGAUUGAUUGGACUCAAAAAUAAGAUUACACACCCUAGAUUAUGGUGGUUA
rnacentral:lncRNA from 1 species